UGGCGAACGGGUGAGUAACACGUGGGUAACCUGCCCAUCAGAAGGGGAUAACACUUGGAAACAGGUGCUAAUACCGUAUAACACUAUUUUCCGCAUGGAAGAAAGUUGAAAGGCGCUUUUGCGUCACUGAUGGAUGGACCCGCGGUGCAUUAGCUAGUUGGUGAGGUAACGGCUCACCAAGGCAACGAUGCAUAGCCGACCUGAGAGGGUGAUCGGCCACACUGGGACUGAGACACGGCCCAGACUCCUACGGGAGGCAGCAGUAGGGAAUCUUUCGGCAAUGGACGAAAAGUCUGACCCGAGCAAACGCCGCGUGAGUGAAGAAAGGUUUUUCGGAUUCGUAAAAACUU
rnacentral:rRNA from 1 species